GAUGAACGCUGCGGGCGUGCCUCAUACAUGCAAGUCGAGCGAACGGACGAGAAGCUUGCUUCUCUGAUGUUAGCGGCGGACGGGUGAGUAACACGUGGAUAACCUACCUAUAAGACUGGGAUAACUUCGGGAAACCGGAGCUAAUACCGGAUAAUAUUUUGAACCGCAUGAUUCAAAAGUGAAAGACGGUCUUGCUGUCACUUAUAGAUGGAUCCGCGCUGCAUUAGCUAGUUGGUAAGGUAACGGCUUACCAAGGCAACGAUGCAUAGCCGACCUGAGAGGGUGAUCGGCCACACUGGAACUGAGACACGGUCCAGACUCCUACGGGAGGCAGCAGUAGGGAAUCUUCCGCAAUGGGCGAAAGCCUGACGGAGCAACGCCGCGUGAGUGAUGAAGGUCUUCGGAUCGUAAAACUCUGUUAUUAGGGAAGAACAUAUGUGUAAGUAACUGUGCACAUCUUGACGGUACCUAAUCAGAAAGCCACGGCUAACUACGUGCCAGCAGCCGCGGUAAUACGUAGGUGGCAAGCGUUAUCCGGAAUUAUUGGGCGUAAAGCGCGCGUAGGCGGUUUUUUAAGUCUGAUGUGAAAGCCCACGGCUCAACCGUGGAGGGUCAUUGGAAACUGGAAAACUUGAGUGCAGAAGAGGAAAGUGGAAUUCCAUGUGUAGCGGUGAAAUGCGCAGAGAUAUGGAGGAACACCAGUGGCGAAGGCGACUUUCUGGUCUGUAACUGACGCUGAUGUGCGAAAGCGUGGGGAUCAAACAGGAUUAGAUACCCUGGUAGUCCACGCCGUAAACGAUGAGUGCUAAGUGUUAGGGGGUUUCCGCCCCUUAGUGCUGCAGCUAACGCAUUAAGCACUCCGCCUGGGGAGUACGAC
rnacentral:rRNA from 1 species